GGAUGCGAUCAUACCAGCACUAAAGCAUCGGAUCCCAUCAGAACUCCGAAGAUAAGCGUGCUUGGGCGAGAGUAGUACUAGGAUGGGUGACCUCCUGGGAAGUCCUCGUGUUGCAUUCC
rnacentral:rRNA from 1 species